AGCCAUCGAAGGAAGUGACCUUAAUUCAUGGUUU
ncrna:unclassified sequences S4-Flavobacteria ribosomal protein leader